CCCCUGUGCACUUACUGUAGGUUGGCGUGGGCUCCUUAACGGGAGCAUUCUGCCGGCCUAUGUAUACUACAAACACUUUAAAGUAUCAGAAUGUAAACGCGUCUAACGCAUCUAUAAUACAACUUUUAGCAACGGAUCUCUUGGCUCUCGCAUCGAUGAAGAACGCAGCGAAAUGCGAUAAGUAAUGUGAAUUGCAGAAUUCAGUGAAUCAUCGAAUCUUUGAACGCACCUUGCGCUCCUUGGUAUUCCGAGGAGCAUGCCUGUUUGAGUGUCAUGGAAUUCUCAACUUAUAAAUCCUUGUGAUCUAUAAGCUUGGACUUGGAGGCUUGCUGGCCCUUGCGGUCGGCUCCUCUUGAAUGCAUUAGCUCGAUUCCGUACGGAUCGGCUCUCAGUGUGAUAAUUGUCUACGCUGUGACCGUGAAGUGUUUUGGCGAGCUUCUAACCGUCCAUUAGGACAA
rnacentral:rRNA from 1 species